ACAGCUGCAGCAUCACCAUAAUGAACCAUGACCAAAAGUCCAGGGGCAGCAGGAUACUGCCUGCCAGACCCAGUGCCCAGGAUAUGCAGCGUCCCAGGUGAUAUUUAAAAAACUUUUGGGGCGGAACUCUGUGAGGUGGCAAACAGCCCACAGCCCAGUGAAGAGGAGAGUAGAGUGAAGACAGUGAACAGGAGGAGAGUGAAAAUAUCUUCAGAUUUUUA